GAAAUUAUUACUUCUAUUUUUUGGUUUUGAGACAGUGACAUGCUUUUCCGAUUUUCCAAGACCUAAAAGCGUGCCUGAGACUAUGGACAGUACACUGCUAGCUGUCGCCAUACGUGUGUUUCUAGAUGUUUCUCUUCCUUCUCCAUUUCCGUGGGACCUGUUCUUUCACGUGUGGGCUCCCACACACUCUUUUUUCUGAACCCAGAAUCUUGCCCAUGUAAAACAUGAUAAUUUUUUUGUUAAAAUAUCUUACUUUUAUUAAAUUUAUAAUUUAGUAUUUUUAUUUUUAUUUUAAGAAUUUAAUUUUUUUAUUUUUUAGAUUUUAAAUUUUAGGUUGAAUAGUUAAUACUAUUAAAAUUAUUUUGUUAAACUCAAUUAGUACAACCUUAUUUUUUAACUAUUAAGUGAGUUUUCUUUUUAUUUCAAAAUAUUACUGUAAUAGGCCAUUUUAGCCCGGGCCCAAAUGCAUAAACUUGAAGAUAAAAAUACAAUAAAUUACAGACCCAAUUUUAAACCCUAUAACACCCCAACCCAAUAACCGAAUUAUAAGCCCAUUUUUUUGACCCAAUUGCAGGGCCCAACUGGCCUAAAGUCACAGAAACCUUAAGCAACAGAUAGCCGAGACUGCUUGCCCCACGUCGUCCUUGCACACCGCAACUGCCCACGUUCUUCCCUCGCAAUAACGCCCCACGUCGUAGCAACUCCCGCACAACGCCUACACACCUGCAAACCACGAAUAGCAUUAAGAGGAUAUACACAGCAAAAAACUUGUAAAACGGGGGUGGGCUAUAUAAAGGGAAUUGAUUCUUUGUAUAAGGGUUAGCAAGUUUUUGUAUUGAAAAAUUAAAAAAGAAAUACCAGAGAAAGAAAAAACAUUUUGAAGGUGACGAAUUCGGGUUUCUUUUCCUUGCUUCUUUUUACUGUUUUUAUUCUUUUAUCUUGUUUUUCUUUGAUUUCUUUGAAUAACAAAAAGGGAUAAGGGGAAAAUAGGAGGGCUUACUGUUUUUUGGAGGUGAUUGAAGGCUUCUUUUCGCCGUUGCCUGGUCGGAGUCGGAGCAGCAGAGAAGGGGACUUUGAGAGAAUUUGCGGCGCACCAGAAGAGGGGAUGAGGGGAAAUGAGUUUAGGGUUUUAAAAUGGGAUUUUAUAGGAUUCAAAAUGGG
rnacentral:lncRNA from 1 species